UACGUAGGGUACAAGCAUUAAUCGGAAUUAUUGGGCGUAAAGGGCGUGUAGGCGGAAUUGUAAGUCAGAUGUGAAAUACCAAAGCUCAACUUUGGUGCUGCAUUUGAAACUACAAUUCUUGAGGAUUGACGGAGAGAGCGGAAUUCCACGAGUAGCGGUGAAAUGCGUAGAUACGUGGAGGAACACCAGUGGCGAAAGCGGCUUUCUAGUUUUUACCUGACGCUGAGGCGCGAGAGCAAGGGGAGCAAACAGG
rnacentral:rRNA from 1 species